rnacentral:rRNA from 1 species
CAUCUUUUCUUGUUAGUUUUUGAAGUAUGGCCUGCCCACUGACUUAGAGUUGAAGGGCCGCGGUAUUUUGACCGUGCAAAGGUAGCAUAAUCAUUAGUUCUUUAAUUGUGAUCUGGUAUGAAUGGCUUGACGAGACAUAAGCUGUCUUAGAAGUAUUGAUUUAUUGAAUUUGGUUUUUGAGUUAAAAUUCUUAAAUGUUUUUAUGGGACGAGAAGACCCUAUAGAGUUUGACAAUUUUCCUAUUUAUUCGUUGUUUGUUUUAUUUACAUUGAGUGGGAGUGAAUUGUUUUGUUGGGGUGAUGGGAGGAAUAUUGUUUAACUCCUCUUUAUUUUUUAUAUAUUUAUGUAUAUAUUUUUGAUCCAUUUAUUUUGAUUAUAAGAUUGAAUUACCUUA